GAUGAACGCUGGCGGCGUGCUUAACACAUGCAAGUCGAACGGUGAACGAGGGAGCUUGCUCCCUCCGGAUCAGUGGCGAACGGGUGAGUAACACGUGAGCAAUCUGCCCUGGACUCUGGGAUAAGCGUUGGAAACGACGUCUAAUACCGGAUACGAGGCGUGGGGGCAUCCCCAACGCCUGGAAAGAACUUCGGUCCAGGAUGAGCUCGCGGCCUAUCAGCUUGUUGGUGAGGUAACGGCUCACCAAGGCGACGACGGGUAGCCGGCCUGGGAGGGUGACCGGCCAAACUGGGACUGAGACACGGCCCAGACUCCUACGGGAGGCAGCAGUGGGGAAUAUUGCGCAAUGGGCGAAAGCCUGACGCAGCGACGCAGCGUGAGGGACGAAGGCCUUCGGGUUGUAAACCUCUUUCAGCGGGGACGAAGCGAAAGUGACGGUACCCGCAGAAGAAGCACCGGCUAACUACGUGCCAGCCGCCGCAGUAAUAC
rnacentral:rRNA from 1 species